AUGGGGUCUCAGGCUCAGCUGUUCUGCCUCCUGCUUCUCUGCAUCCCAGGUUCCAGAGGGGCCAUUGGAGUGACCCAGUCUCCAUCCUCCCUGGCUGUGUCUCCAGGAGAGAGAGUCACCCUGUCCUGCAGGGCCACUCAGAGUAUUAGUAAUAACAUACACUGGUACCAACAGCGCCCAGGCCAGUCUCCCAGGCUCCUCAUUUACUGGGCCUCCAACCUACACUCUGGGGUCCCUGCCCGGUUCAGUGGCAGUGGCUCUGGGACAGAUUUCUCUCUUACCAUCAGUGCUGUGGAACCAGAGGACAUCGGACACUAUUACUGUCAGCAGAGUAAUAAUUGGCCUCGCUGCACUUUUGGUGGUGGCAAAAAAAUUGGA